CAGUCGCCACGGUAAAACGAAGGGGGCUAGCGUUGUUCGGAAUUACUGGGCGUAAAGGGCGCGUAGGCGGCCAUUCAAGUUAGAUGUGAAAGCCCUGGGCUCAACCUAGGAAUUGCAUUUGAUACUGUUUGGCUUGAGUUCGGGAGAGGUGAGUGGAAUUCCCAGUGUAGAGGUGAAAUGCGUAGAGAUCGGAAGGAACACCAGUGGCGAAGGCGGCUACCUGGACAAAUACUGACGCUGAGGCGCGAAAGCGUGGGGAGCAAACAGGAUUAGAUACCCCCGUAGUCCCUGUCUCUUAUAC
rnacentral:rRNA from 1 species